CUUGGUCUGAGGGCAACACAGAGUCCAGCAAGGACAGCUGGGAGUCAAAGCAGGCCCAAGUGUCUUGAAGGGCAGCUCAUCCUAGGAAGAACUAGAAACAGCAGGGACCAGGGUUCCCAUAGCAGUGGGACUGGCCACUCAAGAACCCAGGGAGAGAAACUGCUGGACUCACCAGGGAGAGGAGCCUUGGAAUGAAGCCACACAGAUGUAUCUGGACCAGGACUCCAACCUCCAGCCUAGAAAAGCUGACCAUAGACAAAGGCUAAUGACAAUGUAGCUUUGGACACACAUGGAUUCAACUACCUCAAGCCUGAAGAGAAACAGGUACAGGACCCAAUGGGGCAAUGUACCCAGGCUAAAAUCUGGACACUAAAAAGCCUAUUAAAAGUAGUGAAGGCCAAAUAUGGACCCUUAGAAUCCUGAGCUAAAGUCUGAGAUGAAAGCACCCCAGGUAUAAGCAUAAACCUAAAGAUGCAGGAACUCAAAUAAGAAGCGUUUCCUGGUCUCUCAUGGACCAUUGUCCUACCAAGGCCCAAUGCAGAAGAGAAGUGUGCCUGGGACAAACCCUGCAGUGAAAGAGGCCUGCACCCCACCCAAAAAGUAUUGAGUGGGCUAAAAGUGGACCCUAAAGAAGCCCAAAUCUAGAAUAGAGUGGACGCUGGGCCAACCCUUGACCAUGAAAAGGGCAGGUCUAUGGACAGAUAAUAUAUUGACAUGGGUAAAUUUUCAAAUUAUAGAGGCCCAGGCCAAUCCAAGAAGAGAGGCAUGCCUGGGCCAAACUCUGACCCUGUAGAAGCCCAGAUCCAAAGCAAGAAGAGAGAUGGGCCUGGGCUAAUACCUUUCCCUGAAGAAGUCCAGGUCCAAAGCAAGAAAUGUGGGCCUGGGCCAAUCCCUCAAACUUAAGAUACUUAGGCCCAGAAAGAGAUGGCAUAUGGGCCUGGGACAAUCCGAAAAAUAGAGGCCCAGGUUAAACUACAAAAAAAAAAUGUAUGCCUUAGCCAAACCCUAUCCCUGAAGAAUCCCAGGCCCAAAGCAAGAAGAGAUAUGGGCCUAAGCUAAUACCUUACCCUUUAGAAUCCCAGGCCCAAAUGAAGAAGAGAUGUGGGCCUGGGCCAGUCCCUGAACCUUAAGAUGCCUGGGCCCAAAAAGAGAUGAUAUAUGGGCCUGGGACAAUCCCAAAUAUGGAAGAGGCCCAGGUUAAACUACAAAAGGAAAAUGCCUGGACCAAACCCUAACCCUGAAGAAGCCCAGACCCAAAGCCAGAAAAGAUAUGGACCUGGGCUAAUACCUUACCCUUGAGAAGCCCUGGCCCAAAGCAAGAAGAGUUGUGGGCCUAGGCCAACACCUGAAAUGACAGAGGCCCAGGGAAACUAUGAAAAGGAGUGAGCACAAUCAAAUUCAAUCCCUGAUUCCUAGUACAAUUACGAAAGUAAAAUCAUUCUGGAUUAACCCCUCACCAAAGAGACCUGGGCCCAAACAGAGCACUGUGCUCACACCAAAUCUAAAGUGAAAAACAUGUGGUUAGAGCAUAUACCAUGAGGCUCUCUGAUCCAAGGCCUUAGUUUCAAUUGGUACAAAACAACCAACCAGGUAUUAAUGCAGACAUAUGCCAGCUUGAACAUUGAUAACCUUGGACUCACCCACAAUACUUCCUGUACUAAUGACUGAUAUGGACAACCUGAGUAUCUAAUAUGUGCUUCUCACACAGAAACUUCACUCAAUCUAGGCAACAUUCUCAACACAUGUGAGCAAUAAUACAAGGGCUCACCAUAAUAAAAGGGCUCACUAAAUAACUAUCAGUGUAGACAUGCAAUACCUAAAAUCAUGUUAUGCUGCACCCUGUAGUGUCUGACACAAGGACUUAUCUUGACUUAGACUGAUUGUUUCAGAAAGAAGUAUUUCUCAAGUGUACCUCAGGCCACAGCCUGUAACCAAGAACCUUGGACUAAUCAUUGUUGGUGUGAUUUGGACACAUUUGGACACAUCAUAUCCUUCAAGAUCCAGAUCUUGAUGAUAACCUGAUGAUUAAUACAGGUGCAAGGACUUACACAGACCUCAAAGGAACCCGGCUGCUCCUUGAACCCCAAGAGCCUGGGCUAAUAUCGUCCUCAGGGGUGUGUGGAUUGCACCCUCUUUCUAUGCAAUUUAGGACAAAAUCCCACCACAAAGGAGUGAUGCCUUAAAGGGACCAAGCCUCGCCUUAAUAGACAUAACCAUGACCCUGACCUGGUCUGACCACCAGGCAUUACCUUCAUGUUAGUUUAUUUUGUAGGAUAUCAGUGGAAGUUAGGAGCUGUUGGACCACCAAGAGCCUUGGGUCAAAUUUCAAGUGUGUUUGGGCCACACCUUCUCUUCUUCCAACCCAGACUCCAUUACCAAUACAGGGAAGCCAGGACCAAAUGACAUACUUGACUGUGCCCAAGCCACAAAUGACCAUCAACCAACAUGGGCAGACCUUGUACUUAGGGGUGUGUGGGCCGCACCUUUAUUUCAAGUCUGACCACAUGCUGUCUGGACUUCAAGAAAUACAGGAGAAGAUGAUGUGAGUUAGCCCACAAGAAACCUUCUAACAAGAAUGGACCCACUGUACUAACAAAAGCAUUGGUGGUUUAAUCACUGAAUUUCCACAUAUUACCUUACAGAUGUGUAGACUAUACACACCUUUCACCCAGCUCAGGCAACCAUGCUCAAAUCAGGGAGUCAGGACAACCUCACAGCCUUCAUGACCAUCUGGGUCACAUUUGAAAAUCAAAUAACAUGGGCACACAUUGGAUAGAGGGUGUGUGGGCCGCACCCAGGAAUCCCUGUGCCCAGGGUUUAUCAGGACUACAACAGAUGAAGAACAGCACUUUGAUCUCAAGUGUGACCUAGAGCACAUACUACUCCAGGAAGGUUGGACACAUUUUAACACCAUGGGGUGGUGGUCUGCAGAAUGACAUCAUGGAAAAAGACCAUGAAGUGACAUCAAUGGGAUCCUGCCAGCCAAUCAAUGUCAGUGUGAGUUGGGGGCUAACUUACCACCAUGAAGCCUGGGUCAAAAUUAACUUUGAGGCUUGUGGACCUCACCUUCUCUUCAUCAAACUCAAGAGAUAAGCUUAACUAGGAGGACCCAGGACCACAAAACAUGGCCUUCAUGAUGUCUGGGUCACACCAGAGAAGCAACCUGGGCAGACUUUGCCAUGAUGGGUGUGUGGGCCGCACCCAAGUGUCAUUAUUUGUCCAGGUACUAUCUUGUCUACAAGAGACCCAGGACAAGAUGAUCUCAUGUGUGACUUAGGCAACACCAAGAAACUCACAGGCAAUUGGAAUCACCACAACAACCAGCAUGAGUGGUCUGUUAUGUGACAUCAGCCUCAUAAACUUCACAAGCCUCACAAGACUGUGGUCCAAACCCUCUUAGCCUGACAUCCCAGGUUCCCUCCGCACUCCCUGUUGACCUUUGUCCUCAACCUGACCUGAAUAGAAACAUCAAGUAACCCAUUGGGUUAAGAAGGUGAUGGACCAGAAGUACAGACAACUUUAAUGGUAAUGAGUAAUGAGAAAUCUUGAAGGCCCUCCUCUGGAGGCAUGUUUUUUGGCUUGUUCACUGUCUAGAAGUAGUUACUGAGUAUUCCUCAAAAUCUCAAAAGAGCCUACCUAAAGAAAGAUGGAAUUAUAUAGUGAUUUCUAUAAAUCUCUGUCUUCAUCUUCUGUAUAUAAAACAGUUCAGAAGCAGUGCAGUGUUAUAUUAUUCUUUAUUGUGCAUUUCAUGCUGUAGCAUUGUGUAUAUAGUAUUCAAUAAACAUGAUGUUCAUCUGCAA